rnacentral:lncRNA from 1 species
GAAUGUGCCCCCGAAGGAGGGACUUUCGUUUCUGUCCUAGGGUUUCGGCCGCCGAACCUGCCGCCGAACCUACCCGAGUUUCGUCUCUGGAAGGGACUUUCGGCCGCCGAAGGUGCCGCCGAAAGUGCCCUGUCCAGCCGUUUCUUGGGUGUUUUCCAUGCAUGUUUAAGUGAUGUUUAGAGGGGUUUUAGGGGGUAUGUUUAUGAGUUGUUAGAAUGUGUUUGGCACCUCAUUCGAGUCCACCUGUGUAGGAUCGGACCCGAGGGACCGAGGAGGCCAUCAGGGUUAGCAGUUGCAGAGUCAGUCAGCGUCUGCCAGGAGGUGAGUAGAACUAAACUUAAUCUUUUAUGCACAAAUCUAAUGCCUAAAGCAUGUUCAUGCAUCAUGAUUAUGUAUAGUAGGUUGAUUGCACUAGUUCACGAAUAUGUUGCAUUGCAUUAUUUCAUGUUGAUGCUGAGGUAGGGUGGACCGAGGCGACUUCAAUAGCCCAUAUCUGUCACGAGUCUUGUCUUUGUCCUUUGAGAGCCGGACAAGUACAUGUAGGAAAGUCCAUGUGAGCUCUCUGUGGACCAGACACCAUGUCAUGUAUGUUACAGGCCUUUGUGAGCUCCUAUGGGGGAGCCGGGCA